UAGCUUAGUGGUUACAGUACUCCCUUGGGAGGAGUAACCCUUGGCUUAUAUAGCUCCUAUUGCCAGAGACAGGAUUCUUAUCUGAGAUAUUCAGGACUAGAUAUUUGGGCAUUUGACCUUCCAGUGGUGAUUGGAUUGAGGCAAUGAAAAGUGGGUGUUAACAUGAAUUUUAAUUGUUUUUCCUAGAUCUUUCCAAAUUGGCUGCAGACUUCAUGACUCAGCUAAGUGUGUCAGGUGCACCUCCGGUGGCCAAACCAAUCUAUUUAAAGCAAGGCCUCAGCUGUUUGGAAGAUCUGCAAAAGCAUCUUUUUGCAGUGAAUUCUAGUGGGAUAACAUACAGUCCAGAAAAACUCAGCCAAGAACUGUUCUCAGAAUAUCAGGACGUGGAGGAUUUAAUAAAAGAGCAAAGCAAAGCUCUGGAGACUUCCCAGAGACUACUGAUAUUUUCCAGAAGCUGAGCUGUUGAUGUUGGAUUGUCAGAGAACCAGCAUGUUGUCCACAAUGCCCUCUUAAUAGCCACAGGCAAACACCCUACGCUGUACAGAGUCACUGAGAAGAGCCAUCCCGCAGCCAUGCCUGAUUAUGCAAGAAACUCUGCUCAAACAUUAAAGCAAACACUGGUAAAUAUUGGGGGAUACACGGAGAAGGUAUGUGUGAUUCCACAACUCCUCAAGCUUCAAACCAAUGGAUAAGAAGAAAAUGUCAGGUUUCAGGUUGCAGACUCGGGUUUGCUCACUCGAGGAAGAGCAAGAGCUUCAAGAAAGGCAUCCGUGAGGCGUGCCAAAAAUGUCAAGGCUUCCUCACAAAGAAACCUCAGGACUGGUUCAGUGAGAAUGAUUGGGAAAUGCAUGCCUUCCAAAUGGAGAGAGCACACAGUGACAUCAGCUCCAAAUAGAAGUGCCCACAUUCGUGACCUUCAGUACAGAUCAGUCACUUGAUGGACCCUGCCACAUGGACAGUUUUGCACACGUAGGGGAAGAAUUCAUCUCACCCAUGUGUGUGUUAGCUAAAGCCACCAUUGAGUCAGUGUGUAACGUAAUAAAAAGACAGGAGAAUUUA